rnacentral:rRNA from 1 species
AUUGAACGCUGGCGGCAGGCCUAACACAUGCAAGUCGAACGGUAACAGGAAGAAGCUUGCUUCUUUGCUGACGAGUGGCGGACGGGUGAGUAAUGUCUGGGAAACUGCCCGAUGGAGGGGGAUAACUACUGGAAACGGUAGCUAAUACCGCAUAACGUCGCAAGACCAAAGAGGGGGACCUUCGGGCCUCUUGCCAUCGGAUGUGCCCAGAUGGGAUUAGCUAGUAGGUGGGGUAACGGCUCACCUAGGCGACGAUCCCUAGCUGGUCUGAGAGGAUGACCAGCCACACUGGAACUGAGACACGGUCCAGACUCCUACGGGAGGCAGCAGUGGGGAAUAUUGCACAAUGGGCGUAAGCCUGAUGCAGCCAUGCCGCGUGUAUGAAGAAGGCCUUCGGGUUGUAAAGUACUUUCAGCGGGGAGGAAGGGAGUAAAGUUAAUACCUUUGCUCAUUGACGUUACCCGCAGAAGAAGCACCGGCUAACUCCGUG